rnacentral:rRNA from 1 species
AGAGUUUGAUCCUGGCUCAGAAUGAACGCUGGCGGCGUGCUUAACACAUGCAAGUCGAGCGAGAAGGUUUCAUUUGAUUCUUCGGAUGAUUAUGAAACUGGAGAGCGGCGGACGGGUGAGUAACGCGUGGGUAACCUGCCCUAUGGAGGGGGAUAACUAAGAGAAAUUUUAGCUAAUACCGCAUAAGCACACAGGACCACAUGGUCUAGUGUGAAAAACUCCGGUGCCAUAGGAUGGACCCGCGUAAGAUUAGCUAGUUGGUAAGGUAAUGGCUUACCAAGGCGACGAUCUUUAGCCGACCUGAGAGGGUGAUCGGCCACAUUGGGACUGAGACACGGCCCAAACUCCUACGGGAGGCAGCAGUGGGGGAUAUUGCACAAUGGGCGAAAGCCUGAUGCAGCAACGCCGCGUGAAGGAAGACGGUUUUCGGAUUGUAAACUUCUAUCAGCUGGGAAGAAAAUGACUGUACCAGACUAAGAAGCCCCGGCUAACUACGUGCCAGCAGCCGCGGUAAU